rnacentral:rRNA from 1 species
UACGGGGGGAGCAAGCGUUGUUCGGAUUUACUGGGCGUAAAGGGCGCGUAGGCGGUCGUGACAAGUCACUUGUGAAAUCUCCGGGCUUAACUCGGAACGGUCAAGUGAUACUGUCGGACUAGAGUACAGAAGGGGCAACUGGAAUUCUCGGUGUAGCGGUGAAAUGCGUAGAUAUCGAGAGGAACACCUAUAGCGAAGGCAGCUCGCUGGGACGGUACUGACGCUGAGGCGCGAAAGCGUGGGGAGCGAACAGG